AAACGCAAAUGACAGGUAAAUAAAACACCGAAAUCUAACCGAUAGUGUCCUAAACGCAAAUGAGAGGUAAACAAAACACCGAAAUCUAACCGAUAGUGUCCUAAACGCAAAUGAGAGGUAAACAAAACACCGAAAUCUAACCGAUAGUGUCCUAAACGCAAAUGAGAGGUAAACAAAACACCGAAAUCUAACCGAUCGUGUCCUAAACGCAAAUGAGAGGUAAACAAAACACCGAAAUCUAACCGAUAGUGUCCUAAACGCAAAUGAGAGGUAAACAAAACACAGAAAUCUAACAGAUAGUGUCCUAAACGCAAAUGAGAGGUAAACAAAACACCGAAAUCUAACAGAUAGUGUCCUAAACGCAAAUGAGAGGUAAACAAAACACCGAAAUCUAACCGAUAGUUUCCUAAAUGCAAAUGAGAGGUAAACAAAACACCGAAAUCUAACCGAUAGUUUCCUAAACGCAAAUGAGAGGUAAACAAAACACCGAAAUCUAACAGAUAGUGUCCUAAACUCAAAUGAGAGGUAAACAAAACACCUAAAUCUAACCGAUCGUGUCCUAAACGCAAAUGAGAGGUAAACAAAACACCUAAAUCUAACCGAUAGUUUCCUAAACGCAAAUGACAGGUAAAAAAAACACCGAAAUCUAACCGAUAGUGUCCU